rnacentral:rRNA from 1 species
GACUUUGACCAUACCACCCUGAUACCAGAAGCUAAGCAGGGUCAGACCUGGGCAGUACUGGGAUGGGAGACCAACUAGGAAUACCGGAUGCUGUAGAAU